rnacentral:tRNA from 1 species
GCAUCCGUGGCGAAACUGGCAGACGCGCUAGCUUCAGGAGCUAGUGGCCGCAAGGCCUUGUGGGUUCAAGUCCCUCCGGGUGCA